rnacentral:tRNA from 1 species
AGGGGCGUAGCUCAGUUGGUAGAGCGUCGGUCUCCAAAACCGAAGGUCCAGAGUUCGAGUCUCUGUGCCCCUG